GUACACUCCUACGGGAGGCAGCAGUGGGGAAUUUUGGACAAUGGGCGAAAGCCUGAUCCAGCAAUGCCGCGUGCAGGAUGAAGGCCUUCGGGUUGUAAACUGCUUUUGUACGGAACGAAAAAGCUCCUUCUAAUACAGGGGGCCCAUGACGGUACCGUAAGAAUAAGCACCGGCUAACUACGUGCCAGCAGCCGCGGUAAUACGUAGGGUGCGAGCGUUAAUCGGAAUUACUGGGCGUAAAGCGUGCGCAGGCGGUUAUGUAAGACAGAUGUGAAAUCCCCGGGCUCAACCUGGGAACUGCAUUUGUGACUGCAUGGCUAGAGUACGGUAGAGGGGGAUGGAAUUCCGCGUGUAGCAGUGAAAUGCGUAGAUAUGCGGAGGAACACCGAUGGCGAAGGCAAUCCCCUGGACCUGUACUGACGCUCAUGCACGAAAGCGUGGGGAGCAAACAGGAUUAGAAACCCUUGUAGUCCC
rnacentral:rRNA from 1 species